rnacentral:ribozyme from 1 species
GAAUGCAGUGCGAAAGAACCAUCACCAAACGAUUAUGUACAUGGUACAUUUUUACAUGAAUGAUAUUUGAGUCAUUUUAUUAUUAAUUUCAUUGUUUUUUCCUUUUUUUUUUUCAAA